GACGAACGCUGGCGGCGUGCCUAAUACAUGCAAGUAGAACGCUGAAGGAGGAGCUUGCUUCUCUGGAUGAGUUGCGAACGGGUGAGUAACGCGUAGGUAACCUGCCUGGUAGCGGGGGAUAACUAUUGGAAACGAUAGCUAAUACCGCAUAACAGUAGAUAUCGCAUGAUAUCUACUUGAAAGGUGCAAUUGCAUCACUACCAGAUGGACCUGCGUUGUAUUAGCUAGUUGGUGAGGUAACGGCUCACCAAGGCGACGAUACAUAGCCGACCUGAGAGGGUGAUCGGCCACACUGGGACUGAGACACGGCCCAGACUCCUACGGGAGGCAGCAGUAGGGAGUCUUCGGCAAUGGACGGAAGUCUGACCGAGCAACGCCGCGUGAGUGAAGAAGGUUUUCGGAUCGUAAAGCUCUGUUGUAAGAGAAGAACGAGUGUGAGAGUGGAAAGUUCACACUGUGACGGUAUCUUACCAGAAAGGGACGGCUAACUACGUG
rnacentral:rRNA from 1 species